rnacentral:rRNA from 1 species
CCCUUAGAUGUUCUGGGCCGCACACGCGCUACACUGAAGGAGGCAGCGUGUACUCCUGGAUCGAAAGAUUUGGGUAACCCGCGAAUCUCCUUCGUGCUAGGGAGUGAGGUUUGCAAUUAUCCUUCAUGAACGAGGAAUUCCCAGUAAGUGCAAGUCAUAAGCUUGCGCUGACUACGUCCCUGCCCUUUGUACACACCGCCCGUCGCUACUACCGAUUGAAUGAUUUAGUGAGGACUUCGGACUGGGACCGAUGCGGCUUUCGGGCUGCGUCGGUAUUCUGGAAAGAUGUCCAAACUGUAUCAUUUAGAGGAAGUAAAAGUCGUANCA